ACUGCCACACCCCCUGUCCCUUCCACGCGCCCGCCCGCCCGCUCUGUACCCCGCCUCUAAUUAAACGCCUCGCCUCAGCGCGAGGAGAGAAACGACGCUCCCGCGGGUUCGGAGUCGCUCGUGCCGGCGUCGGCGCGUGCCCCUCCCCAGAGCCGACCAAUCACGCGCCGGCGCAGAAGUGGGGCAGGGCGCGCGGGGUCGCGAGGUGCGCUCCCGCCGCGGGGACGUCCCCCUUGUUUUUCGCGCCGAAACGCCGCGUUGCGUGAAGGUCGUCGCCGGCCGCGUCCUUCCUCCAUCUGCCCCGCGCGCUGGAAAGGGAGUGGCGCGCGCAGGAUUCUCCGCGAUUUAAUUUGCCGCUUCGCGCCUCGGCGAGUCAUCCCGCGAGGCGGCCGGGCGCGCGCGCGUCCCGCCGUCCUUCGAGCGCGGACACAAGUAGGCCGCGCGCCUGCAUCGAGUCCUGGGAGCGCGUGUCGUGCGCGUCACCGGAAGUUGUGGAGCUGUAAGUAAUAAAGAGCGGAGUUAUUUCAUUGUCGCUGCGGCUCUUUCAGUCGUUCCUGCGGUUUUAUUGAGCCUCUCCGGUUAAAUUACGACCUGGUGUCCGCGGCAGUGUCCAUCCUCCUAAACACAAACAGCCCCAGUGGCCUCUUCCCAGGUGUCUUCUGCCACCUCAUGACUCAUGGUGUCCUCAACCUACAUAUCAGUGAUCAUCUCAUCACCCGUCCCUACUAGACUAAUGACGUCUUUUGUUCCAGGUUUGUCAAAUGAAGAGGCGUCUGUCCUGCCAGGGUCCCGUCCCAGUUUCCAGAUUCAACCACUCCACCACAUGCUGCCUCAUCUUACUUCGGCUCAAGCAUCAUUGUUAUCUUCAGCUUCGUGCACAUGCUGCGUCCAUGAAGCUGCGUCGGGCUGCUCUUCUCGAGCAGUUUGAUUGCUGCGUCGCCCACGCGCCACGGACCUGCGCCGCGGAGCUCCUACGCGUCGCCGGACCACUUUGGAGGCCCUCCUCAUCGACGGCGGGAGACGAGGAAGGAGCGACAGUUCGGCUACCAAAGACCAGAAGCUCUUUUCACUGCGAGGGUAUGCAACGGCUAUUUGAUGUAUUUAGGAACAAAAAAAAAUGCCAAUUUGCGCGCAAGACUUUGACUGUUUUUCCACACACUCUUUUCCCCGUCCCUCAAUCUAUUGAAAAGAUUAAGACCAGGAGCCGUCAGAACGUCGUUUCGAUGCAAUCAAUAACACGAGGGAGGAUAAAGAGACGCUGAUACCCUGCUUCGCUCGUGGUAAUUCUUGGUAAGCCUCCACGCCGUUUGCCGCCCGUAAUCUCAUUACAAAUU
rnacentral:lncRNA from 1 species